GUUGACAUCUCGCUGUAGCUAUCAGGAGCCAUGCUACUUGCGCCACCACUGCUGCCUUCCACACAGAGUCUGUGUUAGCAGGAAGCUGGAGCCAGGAACUAGAGCCGAGUCUUGGAUCUGAGUGUCUCGUUGAGGGAUGGCUCUAUCUCAGCCACUAGGCCUGAACAAGCCCUGUACAUACUAAAUGGAGCAACAGGUGAAAUCCACACCCUGCUUCAUUCCGACUUUGAUGGAGUUGUCUCCGCUGCUUGCACCACCUUCUCCUCUCUGGUUUUCUGUUCUACUCGGCACCGUGCAAGUGAAUUCUUGGUUUCCUAUUGAGAGAGAACAUAGCUCAUCCACAGCCACCUGCCUUGGGAGAUGCUGCCUGUUUACACAGGAACUUCUUGAGGGAACUGAGCAACUCGGCACCCCAGUGGGCACAGAGGCCAGCAACUUCUGACUCAGGCAGAGUGGAUUUACUGAUUUAUUUGAAAAGCAGAAUGACGGAGAAAGAGAACAAAGAGAGAGUGUGUGUGUUCUUGGCUGGUUCCAAUGAGUCCCUUCCUAAUGCCUGCACUAACUAGAGCUAGACCAGCCAGACACAAGAGCCAGGAAUCCCAUCUGGGGCUCUCAUGUGGGUGGCAGAGCCCCAGCUUCUUGAACCAUCAUCUGUUGCCUUUCCAGGAAGCUGUGCUGGAAGCAAAGCAACCGGGGCUGAAUUCAUCACUUCGACCUGGGAUGCUGGCUUGACAAGU